rnacentral:rRNA from 1 species
UACGUAGGGGGCAAGCGUUGUCCGGAUUUAUUGGGCGUAAAGAGCGUGUAGGCGGCCUGAAAGGUCAGCUGUGAAAACUCGAGGCUCAACCUCGAGACGUCGGUUGAAACCAUCUGGCUAGAGUCCGGAAGAGGAGUGUGGAAUUCCAGGUGUAGCGGUGAAAUGCGUAGAUAUCUGGAGGAACACCGGUGGCGAAGGCGGCAUCCUGGACCGGCAUUGACGCUGAGUGAGCGAAAGCCAGGGGAGCAAACGGG